AAAUUCGCCUUGGCAAGGCACUCCCUCU
rnacentral:ribozyme from 1 species